UACGUAGGAUCCAAGCGUUGUCCGGAUUUACUGGGUGUAAAGGGUGCGCAGGCGGACUGGUGAGUCUGGGGUGAAAUCUCGCUGCUUAACAGCGAAACUGCCUUAGAUACUAUCAGUCUUGAAUCAGCGAGAGGUUCGUGGAAUUCCGAGUGUAGCAGUGAAAUGUGUAGAUAUUCGGAAGAACACCAGUGGCGAAGGCAAGCGAACUGGCGCUCGGAUUGACGCUCAGGCACGAAAGCAUGGGGAAUCAAACAGGAGUUAGAAUGAUCCCAGGUAUCCC
rnacentral:rRNA from 1 species